CAUGUGUGGCGAAUGAAUGGUGUAUGGUGAUGAUGGUGAUAAUGGUGGAAGUCUAAUUCUACUUUUUCUCUUUGAGGGGAUACAUACCUUUCUUGCUUUUUGAAACUUUAUGAGGAGAAUGAGAUGCUCUUCUUUUUCUUUCCUCUCAGGUGGGUAUCUUGUACCCCUAAUUCUACUGUUGGACACUUGUCCAUUUUUACCUCUCGUCUCAGUUUUUCUUUUCUUUCGAGGUUCCGGGCACUUGCCCCUUUUUAUUUCAUCGUAUCUUUUUUUAAAGCACUCAUCUCUUGAGAUAAUAUAGCAAGUGGUAGUAACAAGAUAACUUGAGCAUUUAUUUGACACGGGAAAAACAGAAAUGUUUUUGGCUAUUCUCUCCCGGACUAGGAGUAGAAUAUUUUUGGGUGAUUCUGGAGAUGGAAAUGGAUGGAUAUAUGUGGAUGGUACUUCCGGAGUAGAAGUAGCAUAUAUGAGUGAACAUGCAAGUGAAUCUUGAUUUAACCACAUGACAAGCUCCUAAGGGUCUACACAGCUUGACCACACUCAAUGCUCAUAACCAGUAAAAAGUAAAUGUAUGGCUCAAAGUCUAGCAAGCAUAUAUAUAUGGCUGUGGUAGGAAUUUAAACUCUCAUCAUACAGGAACUCAUCAUGCAAUAUUUUAAAGAUUUUCAAAGAUAAAAUUCUUCAGAAUUCUAGCAUCUCUAGGAACAGAUAAACAGCAGCUCAACCUUCCCAUAUCGUAUCCGUUAACAACUUAGACUUUAGAUCAAGUUUUCAUCCCACAAGUUUAGGUCUAGAGUUAUAUCUAAACUUGAGAGAGAACUUAAAAUGUGCAAAUUAGGUAGAGCAACUAUUCAUCAUAUCCAUGCUAGAGUUUUAUUUAGAUACAGAUUAGCAUAGCCACAUUAUUUAUUUAUUAAACACACUAAGCAAAAGAUAUAUAUAUAUAUAUAUAUAAGCACAAAAUCUUUAUUUGGUUUUUCAUAGUUAUGUAUAUUUAUAUUCUAAUAUAAUAUAAGUGUAAAGAUAGAUAGAAAUACUUAUCGGGAUAAAUGGGGGUGCUCUCCCCCAAGCUAAAUUUUGACGUAAUUUCUCUUGAUGUAGCUAGCAGGUGGUAGAGGUGUAUUUGAAAGUCAGCAGCAUUCUGACAGCGAUUAGAAUGUCCUCCGUCUGCUAGUCUUCUUGAUUCCUGUGGAGCUCAAAUAGACAACAAAGCUUGUGGAACUGAUUAAGUGUUAGCAUAAAUAUCUAGCCUUGAGACUCCUCAAUAAAUAUUACUCUCUGUUUUUAUAUUUUCGUUGAAUAAAGCAGAAAAAUAUUUAUUUUAUUUUUAUGCCACCACAGUGAAUGUACUUAUGGGUUUUAUGCCACUCGUAUACUCACAUGGGGCUUACUAAUUUUUAACAUUUUUAUUUUAUUUUUAUGGUAGUACGAACAUGAUUAACUAAGCAAACUAUUUAAAAUAAUUGAAAGGGAAAGGAUAACUACCAAGUUUACCUCUUGGCAAGGCGUUCGGUGUUUUUAAGUCCUCCGAACGGGACUCUCCGUUUUCUCAAUUAUCCUGGGAUUCGUUGGGUGGCGGAGUCGAUACUUCCGGCGGCACCUCUUCUUCAUGAUAGUUAUCUUCUCUUUCCAUACCUGACUCGGUGCUACGGUCUCCUCUGGAUAAUUCUGUUUAAACUCUACGUCUUCUGACCUUAUCACUUCUCCUUCAUAGUCUGCCCAUCCAUCCUUGAUGAUUUGCCUCCUCUGGUUUUGGUUGCGUCUCUUUCUGACCUGCUUAGAUUCUUCAAAGAUGUAGUUAGGGUCAGUAAAAUAACGGCGUACCUUCUCUGAGGGGAAGUGCAUGUGGACUUCUCCGGUUCCAAUGUAGAUGAUUGCUUUAACGGUGCUGAGGAACGGUCUUCCAAGGAUGAUGGGUGGAUCGUAUUCGUCCUCUCCCAUGUCAAUAACCUGAAAGUCUGCGUAGACAAAAUGAUCGUCUAUUUUGAUAGGGACAUCAGUUACUGUUCCUUUAACCUCUCGAAAUGUCUGAUCUGCCAUCUGGAGCUGAAUGUAUGUUGGUCUUAGUGGCAUGGUUCCGAACAAGAGCUGAUAGGUGACUGCGGCCAUUAUGUUGACGCCCGAUCCGGUGUCGCAAGUUGCCUUGUAGAAGUUAUAUCCAUUUAUGGAGCAAUAGAUGCUUGGCAUUCCUGGGUCGUCCUUCUUGAUCAAAAACGGUGACUUAAGUUGGUGAUCUUGGCCUCCAUGAACUGCAAUGACCAUCUUAGCUGACUCGGUCCACACUUACUUGUUCCUGUUCCUCCUGUUGGUCCUCUUCCUUGAUUCACGUCUGGAUUGAUUUGGGAUUUGUGUAGUCUUGUUCUUGAAGAAAAAUGUCUCCUACCUCCCUUUGAUGUAGAAACUGAUCUUGGCAGCACUAGCGUAGACGAUAGCUCCCGAGGUGUUUAAGAAUGGCCUCCCUAAGAUGAUGGGUGCUCUCUCAUCAUUACCGGUCUCUAUCACCACGAAGUCUGCUGGGGCGUAUAAGGUACCAACUCAGACACAAAGGUUCUUCAAUAUUCCUUUUGGAAAACUUAUCGUCUGAUCUGCAAACUGCAAACACAUAGUUGUUUCUAAUAAAGGAUAUGUAAAGAAUUUUUCAUAGAGUACCCUGGGUAUAAUGUUGACGCUGGAGCCAAAGUCGCAGAGUGCUUCUGAGAUGUCCACCAUGCCGAUGGAGAUCGGGAUGACGAGGCGUCCUGGAUCACCUCUCUUGACCGGCAGAAGGUCAGUAGUGAAUUCAGUGACGGGGUUACUCCAGUUAUUAUCUGCAUCAAACAUGUGUACAAGAUUUGCAGAUUCUAAUCCUUCCGGUUGCGAUGGUAUACCGGGGUUAGUAGUAGCAACAGCAGUAGCUAUUUGAUUUAAGUGGGAUUCAAUCAUUUUAUUAAAGCUAAUUUGGUUCUUGAUGGCAGUAGAGAAAUUAUCCAUUCUAUUAUUUAUAUUUUCUAGCAUUUUAUCAUUAGAUGCCAAUUUCUUAGAUAGAUUAUCCAUUAGCUUUCCUUGAUUAGACACUAACUCUCUCAGAGGUGGAAAAAUAUUAUUAUUGUUGUAAGAAUUGUUACCUUGAUAAUUACCUGAGUAGUUAGGCCUCUGUUGAUUCCAACCUUGAUUUUGUUGAGGACGGUUGUAGUAGUAGUAGUUGUUGUUGUUGAUGUAGUUCACAUCCUCAAGCAUCUCAGGGCAGUGAUUGCCUGAGUGUCUAGUGUCUCCACACUCCUCACAUGUCAUGUGAGAGUCGUAGAUGUGCAAAACUUCUUUCUUAUCUCCAGCUCUAUCAUCGAGGUUCUUCAUGAGUAGGUCUAGCUUUGCAGACAACAUGUCUACCUCCUUGAGCUGAUGCAUGCCUCCACCUCUCUUGCGUGUCUGGGUCCUCUCUUCAUUCCAGCCUUGAUUGGACGCCAUCUUCUCCACAAGAGCUGUGGCUUGUGGUAUGGUAAGUGAUAAGAAUGCUCCUCCAGCUGCAGCAUCCAUGGUCUCGCGGGCACUGUUGCCGAGCCCAUGAUAAAACGUCUGCAUCAGUAGCCAACUCUCCAUUCCAUGAUGGGGACAUUCUAGGAUGUAGUCUUGAAAGCGCUCCCAUGCUUCUGGAACAGAUUCAUCAUUUUGUUGCUGAAAACUUGUAAUCUUCCCACGGAGAGCAUUGGUCUUGCCCAUGGGAAAGAACUUAGCCAGGAAGUUUGUUGAGUAGAGUGCCCACGUAGUAUUCUUCUCCUUUGUAGCGUAGAACCACUGCUUCGCUCUUCCUAAUAGUGAGAAUGGGAAGAGGCGAAGUAGUAUAGCAUCUCUAGAGAUUCCUGAUAUGGUGAAUGUGCUGCAAAUCUCCAGGAAGUGUUGGAGAUGAGCACUAGCAUCUUCAUGUGCCUUCCCACAGAACUGGUUGGAUUGCACCAUGUUGAUAAGUCCAGGCUUGAGCUCAAAGUUGCCAUCGAUCUCUGCAGCAGGUCCAGUGCGAAUGUUGUCCGUAGUGGGAGCUGAGAACUCGCGGAUUGAUUUGUUCGCCAUGGCUUCGAACUCUGAAGACAAGUUCCGGUGAUCUUCUUGAUUGGAUGAAGCUUCUUGCUGAAGUGUUGAUGAUCUCUUCUUAAGCUUGGCUCUAGUUCUUCUGAAUAACGCUUCAGGAUUGUCAACAAAAUUUCCUGGAAGAUGUCUUCUAUUCAUACAUUCCCCUGCAUAAGAUAAAAUAGAAAAAUAUCGGGGUAAAACUGUAUGAGAGAAUAGAUAAGCUCAAUCAUAUUAGUGAUGCGAAUGAUAACUCAAAAUCCUUUAUUCUAUUCCUGAUUAGUAAUCAACCUUCCUCGACAACGGCGCCAAAAAUGCUUGUUGGGUAUUCUUAACAUCAUUACCAAAAGUAGACAGUUUUCUAAUUCUAGUAACGGUGCCAAAAAUGCCAAACCUAUCCCUCACACCACUUAAGCCAAGUUGUCAUCCCCAGCAUGACAUGAGAGACGCGGUAUUGAAAUAUGCAAUUGCUCUUCUAAAUAAAUAAUGAAUGGGAUCUGCAAGCGCACAGAUUAAUACCGAUGUAGCAUUUUAACCGGGAAGUAUUCCAGGUAUCGUUAUUUAUAUUUUUACCACUGGGAAGGGAUUAGGAAUCAUCAAUAUUGAUUACAGAAUAGAAUAUGAGAUUGAGUAUCUAUCAUUGCAUGUAUAAUUGAGAACAUUUAUCUAACUCUUUCAUACAGGGAUAAGUGUCACAUAAAAGAUACAUGAAGUAACGAAUAGUGACAAAGAUAAUUAAUCUGAUCAUAACUAGCCACAUAAUAAAUAUGAUAAGCACCUCAAUUAGAUACUCUAGAAAGUCAUUAGCAUGGAAUUAGAACGAACUACAAGAAUAUUUCCUAAGUUAUUCUCAACUAUAUAGUCUAGUAUUAUCAUAGUUAGUGCAAGCAUACUUAGCAAUCAUUGUGAGACAAGACUACGCCCAUGCAUAGUGAUAUUAGCAAGGUAAAUGAGAAACAUAGCAAUCACUCCCCUGUAAUAAUGUUGCUCUGCCAGCCCAAUACACGAGAGGGGGACUAUAUAAGAAUCAAUGAAGCUGCCACUAUCACGAACUACCUCACGAUCUGGCAUAUUGGGUACAAUCGCACAUAAAUACGGUAUAAGCACCACGCCUACACAAUAUCUAUCAUUUACCCAUGGAUCUGAUGGAUAAACGCUAUACGAUCCUAAGCAUGUAUAUAGAGCCAAUCUAACUAAGCCAAGUACAUAACUAUGAUAAACUAAGAACAAUAUAAUCUUGAAUAUAAACAAGUAGAGAAAAGUCAUAAGCAAUAUAUCGAAGUAGAACAAAGUCAUAUCCAUAAUAUUGAAGAACAAAGAUAAUUAGAACAAUUAGAAGCACAAUUAGAGAAUUACCAAGAAUCCUCUUGACAGAUCCGGAAACCAAUCGAAGAUUGACUCCUUCUAGUUCUAAUCCUAUGUAGCUAUGCUAAUCUAAAUGUCUAAUUGAUGUGGUGGCUCUAAUCUUGAUCAGAGGCUUCUUCUCCCUUGAGGAAUAAUGAAUUAGGGUUGAGAGGCUCUCUCCUCCAGGGGCUAGGGGGUCUGGUUUUAUAGCCCCUUCAAGUGAAUAUGGGCCGUUGGAUCAAACCGACAUUGAUUGAACGGUUAUCCUUGAUCCUUUAGGUCGGUGGAGAUCUCCCACGAAACAGAGUCCUAUUUGGACUCCAAGUCAGGGCGGGCGCCCAGGGAAGGAGGGCGAGCGCCCUGCCUCUGGGCCCUUUCGGCCUCCGCUUUCUUCCCGUGGCUUCUGGAGUCUUCUAGAUGUAAGAUAAUUGUGCGGCACGUUAAUAUCUCUAUGUAAUCCCGACGUGUGGGCCUUUCUUCUGUAUUUCCUGAUAACCCCCUGCAGAAAUAGACAAACACCAAAACUCGUGGAAUUCUAUCAGAUAAAACCCUAAGUCUAGAUGUUGAUUUCAUUUGGAUCCUUUUCUUUGUUUAUUUGAUAAUUGAAUUUGAUACUUAAGGACCGUCAACAGUCGCCGCGGCAGAUCGCAAGAACCCCAAGCUGGCCCCUGCUGGCCCCGGCCUCUUAGACGAGAUGUUGAAGAAGCCAUGCCCCUAUCAUAGGGGACCAACCAAGCACACCCUCGAGAAGUGCACUGUCCUACUUCGGUACUACACCGACAUCAUAGUCAAGGAGGGCGCUGAAGAGCCCCCCAAGGACGACGACCCCUAGGGGGAAGGCUUCCCUAAGCUCAAGAACUGCCUCUUGAUCUUUGGGGGACGUGCGGCUCUCCUCACCGCAAGUCGGAGGAAGCGUGAACUCCGGGAAGUUUGCGCAGUCAGCACAGCCGCCCUCGUACCUCAAGUGGUCCGAGAGCGCCAUCACGUUCGAUCGACAGGAUCACCAGGAUCGGGUUCCCAACUCCGAGAGCUAUCCACUGAUCGUCGACCCCAUCAUCGCCGAGACUCGACUCACCAAGGUGUUGAUGGACAGAGGCAGCGGCCUCAACAUUCUUUACGCUGAGACUUUAGCCCUCAUGGGGAUCAGCAAGUCUCGGCUGAGGAAUGACGCAUCGCCAUUCCACGGAGUGGUACCGGGACAUCGCGCCCACCCCCUCGGGCAGAUCGAUCUACCUGUCUACUUCGGGACCCCGACAACUUCAGAUGGGAGGUCCUCACCUUCGACGUGGUCGGGUUCCCACAAACCUACCACGCAAUCCUGGGACGACCAUGCUACGCCAAGUUCAUGGCUGUCCCCAACUACACCUACCUCAAGCUCAAGAUGCCAGGACCAAACGACAUCAUCACCGUCAGCACGACCAGCCAACACGCCUACCAGUGCGACGUCGAGUGCGUCGAGCAGGCCAAGGCUCUGGCUGAGUCUCUGUCUAUCCUCACCAGCCUCGGCGAUGGCGACCAGGACGCCCCCGACCCCAAGCGUCAUGUUGGGAGCUUCGAGCCAGCGGAGGAGACCAAGCUCGUCUUCCUCGACCCCAGGACCUCUGAAGGCAAGGCGUUGAGGAUCAGCUCGAGCCUCGACCCCAAAUAGGAAGCAGUGCUCGUCGACUUUCUUCGUGCAAACGCCGACAUAUUUGCGUGGAGUCCCUCAGACAUGCCUGACAUACCGAGGGAAGUCGCCGAGCACUCCUUGGAUAUCCGAGCCGGCUCCAAACCCGUGAAGCAGCGCCUACGCCGAUUCGACGAAGAGAAGCACCGGGCCAUCGGGGAGGAGAUCCACAAGUUGCUAGCAGCCGGAUUCAUCAAGGAGGUAUUCCAUCCCGAGUGGUUAGCUAACCCUGUAUUAGUCAAAAAGAAAAAUGGAAAGUGGAGGAUGUGUGUAGACUAUACUAGCUUAAAUAAAGCAUGUCCUAAGAAUCCCUUUCCAUUACCUCGUAUCGAUCAAAUAGUUGACUCUACUGCGGGUUGUGAAACUUUAUCUUUCCUUGAUGCUUAUUCCGGGUACCACCAAAUCAAGAUGAAAGAGUCCGACCAGCUCGCAACUUCUUUCAUCACCCCUUUCGGAAUGUUUUGCUACGUAACCAUGCCUUUCGGCCUUAAGAACGAAGGGUCUACAUACCAGCGAUAUAUGCUCCAGGUCUUCGGGGACCUCAGGCAAAACGGUAGAGGCUUACGUUGACGACAUUAUUGUAAAAUCCAGGAAGACAAGCGGCCUUGUGGCCGACCUGGAUGAAACAUUCCGAUGCCUCAGGGCUAAAGGGAUCAGAUUGAACCCCGAAAAAUGCGUUUUCAGGGUCCCCUGAGGCAUGCUCCUCGGGUUCAUUGUGUGUGAGCGAGGGAUCGAGGCCAACCCUGAAAAGGUCUCGGCCAUCGCAAACAUGGGCCCAAUCCGUAGCCUAAAGGGAGUGCAGAGAGUUAUGGGAUGCCUGGCCUCCCUCAGUCGAUUCAUCUCCCGUCUCGGAGAGAAAGGACUGCCUCUGUAUAGGUUACUUAGAAAAUCUGAGCACUUUUCCUAGACCUCCGAGGCCAAGGAAGCCCUUGACAAGCUCAAGGCUUUGCUCACAAACCCUCCCAUUUUGGUACCCCCCGCCGAGGGGGAACCAUUGCUCCUCUAUGUCGCAGCCACCGAUCAGGUGGCCAGCGCAGCUAUCGUGGUCGAAAGGAAGGAAGAAGGGCAAGCCCUACCGGUCCAAAGACCGGUGUACUUCAUCAGUGAGGUACUAUCCGACACAAAGACCCGAUACCCCCAAAUCCAAAAACUACUCUACGCGGUAGUCUUAGCCCGACGCAAACUCCGCCAUUACUUUGUGUCUCAUCCAGUCUCGGUAGUAUCAUCAUUCCCCCUGGGGGAGGUGAUUCAGAAUCGGGAGGCUAAUGGCAGAAUUGCCAAAUGGGCUAUAGAGCUUAUGGGUGACGGGAUCACCUAUGAGCCUCGGAAAGCUAUAAAGUCCCAAGUUCUAGCGGAUUUCGUAGCCGAGUGGACGGGAACCCAACUCCCUCCACCCUAGAUCCAGCACGAGUGCUGGACCUUGUACUACGAUGGGUCCCUGAUGAAAACCGGGGCCGGCGCUGGCCUCGUUUUCAUCUCGCCCCUCGGAGUAAGGAUGCGAUACGCAAUCCGACUCCACUUCCCCGCCUCAAAUAAUGCGGCGGAAUACGAGGCCCUUGUCAAUGGUCUCCAUAUUGCAAUCGAGCUUGGGAUCAAGCAGCUCGAUGUUCGAGGCGACUCCUGACUUAUCAUCGACCAAGUCAUGAAAGAGUCCAGCUGCCACGACCCCAAGAUGGACGCGUACUGCUAAGCAGUCCGGCGUCUGGAGGAAAAGUUCCACGGCCUUGAGCUUAACAAUGUGUUAAGAAAAUACAAUGAGGCCGCCGACACGCUCGCCAAAAUGGCAUCCGAGCGGGCCACGGUCCCCCCGGAUGUCUUCAUCAGCAACAUCUACAAGCCUUCCGUCGACUACAAAGACGACGGGGGCUCGGAUCAACCCCCAAGCGGCUCAGAUAUCGAUCCAGAGGUCUCCAUGCCUCACGAGCAGGAAGCCAUGGACAUCGAGUUCGAGCCCCUUGCACCAGACGACUCACCAGACUGGCGCUAUCCCUUGCUGCAACGCCUCGUCAAUGGCACCUUGCCCUAAGACCAGGCUGAGGCACCGCGUGUGGCUCGUCGCGCCAAGACUUUUCUCCUUCUUGACGGAGAGAUGUACAAACGUAGCCCCUCGGGCAUUCUUAUGCAUUGCAUCCACCGUUAGGAGGGAAUCAAGCUCCUGGAGGACAUACACUCGGGGGCUUGUGGCCACCACACCGCGCCUCAGACGCUAGUAGGAAAUGCCUUCCGACAAGGUUUCUACUGGCCCACCGCCGUGGCCGAUGCCACAGAGAUCGUGCGGACCUGUGAGGGAUGCCAGUUCUAUGCUCGGCAGAUUCAUCUCCCCGCUCAGGCUCUGCAGACGAUCCCCAUCACCUGGCCCUUUGUUGUCUGGGGCCUCGACUUCGUCGGGCCUCUGCAAAAGGCGCCCGGGGGUUUCACCCACUUGCUUGUCGCAGUCGACAAGUUCUCCAUGUGGAUUUAGGUCCGACCCAUCACAAGGAUCAAGGCCGAACAAGCAGUGCUGUUCUUCACGGAUAUCAUCCACCGGUUUGGAGUGCCCAACUCUAUAAUCACCGACAACGGCACGCAGUUCACCGGGCGGAAAUUUCUAGAGUUCUGCGACAGGCACCACAUACGUGUGGACUGGGCAGCAGUUGCUCACCCAAAGACCAAUGGUCAGGUGGAACGUGCCAAUGGCAUGAUCCUCUAGGGUCUGAAGCCCAGAAUCUUCAACCGGUUGGACAAGUUCAGAAAAAGGUGGCUCAAGGAGCUACCCGCCGUGAUCUGGAGUCUAAGGACUUCCCGAAGCCGAGCCACAGGCUUCACCCCGUUCUUCAUGGUCUAUGGGUCGGAAGCCGUCCUCCCAAUGGAUCUAGAGUACGGGUCUCCAAGGGUACAAGCCUACGACGAAAACAGCUGCAAGACGUUCCAAGAAGAUGCGCUGGACCAGCUGGAUGAAGCAAGAGACGUAGCCCUCCUACACUCAGCCAAGUACCAGCAGGCCCUCCGCCGAUACCACGUGCGACGAAUCCGAGGCCGAGCCUUUCAAGUCGGCGACUUGGUGUUGAGGCUCAGGCAAAGCAACAAGGGUCGUCACAAGCUCACGCCUCCUUGGGAAGGACCCUUCGUCAUCGCCGAAGUCCUCCGACUCGGCACUUACAAGCUCGCCAACGAAGUAGGGGAGGUCUUCAAGAACACGUGGAACAUAGAACAGCUAUGUCGCUUCUACCCUUUGAAUUUUGUAAAGAUAUCCCUCUUGUUCAUCACCUCGAAAGAAUAAAUGAAAGUUCAAAAUUAUAUGGUCGUUUCUUUUUAGAGAGUAAGCCUCGGAUCUGCCUUACAGAGUCCGAGCCUCCCUCGGGGGCUACAUGGGGGGAACCCCCUGUGGCAACUGUUGACACUUGCUAACACCACUUGAAUACUAGGUUGUCAUCUCCAGCAUGGCACUAGAGUGUACUAUGGUAUUUAUACGCACACAGAUAAUCCGCAAGCGCACGGAUACCGUUGAAGCUUUUACCCGGUUAAAGGUUUUAUCGUAUCCACAGGGAAACGGGAGAACCAACUACGCUCUAACUUAACCAAGAUAGAUAGAUAGGUGUAAAUAGGAAAGAUGGUAGAAUUGAAUAAGAACAAUAUUAAAGGUAAGAUAACAGUGAGUGAUAAUAUGGGAAUAGAGAGUAGAGCAAUCUAGUAUAUGGGCGAUGGUAGCAGAUUAGAGAGAAUAACUAUGGUUUCUCUACUUCAAAGGGGUAUGUCUAUGUCUGGGACGAACCACGUGAUAAGAUUACACCACAAAGGUUGCUUAUCCAUAGGCCGAUAAACCCUACCCGUCCUGCUAACGAGAGGUGGACUACAGAGGACCAACGUAACUGUCACCUAGGCGGCCUACCACACGAUCCAGCUAGACAGGGGAUAUCCACAAGUAAUCUAGGUCUAAGCACCACGCUUACACCUAUACUACAACUCUAACCUAUAGCGUCCUAUAGAUUAAAGUACUCAAAAGAGUUGUGAACCAGAACAUACAUGAUUAGUAAUUGCAUAAUGAAUUAGAAGUAGAUUACCAGAGUCAUCCCAUUGAGCAAGCUUGAUUAGAGCUUGAUCAUGACGAAGUACAACCGGAGGAAGAACCGACAGGCCGGCCUCUCCUCUAAUUCUCCUUCGCUCUCCAUCUUGCUACUAUCUAGAUCUACUCUAGUUUAGAGAAGAGAGGAGAGCUCUCAUCUCUAAACCCUAGCUUUUGCUCUGUCUAUGAAUAAUGAAUAAUGAUCAAGGGGUUGCCUCCUCCAGGGGCUAGGGGGUUUGGUUAUAUAGUCCCCUCAAGUGAACCUGGGCCGUCGGAUCAAACCGACAUAGAUUGAACGGUUAUCCUUGAUCCUUUAGGUCGGUGGAGAUCUCCCGAGAACAGAGUCCUGUUUGGACUCCAACAAAGGGCGGGCGCCCAGGGCAGGAGGGCGGGCGCCCUGCCUCUGGCCCCUCUCGGCCUCCGCUUCCUUCCCGUGGCUUCUGGAGUCUUCUAGAUGUAAGAUAAUUGCGCGACACGUUUAUAUCUCUAUGUAAUCCCGACGUGUGGGCCUUUCUUCCGUAUUUCCUGAUAACCCCCUGCAGAAAUAGACAAACACCAAAACUCGUGGAAUUCUGUCAGAUAAAACCCUAAGUCUAGAUGUUGAUUUCAUUUGGAUCCUUUUAUCUGUUUAUUUGAUAAUUAAAUUUGAUACUUAAGGACCGUCAACAAACUCCCCCAAACUUACCUCUUGCUCGUCCCUGAGCAAGGAUAGACUCAGUAAUGGAUCAUAAGUUGUUGCAAUAUCUUUAAAAAUUUGACGGUACACAUACUUUUAAAUAAGAUCUCAUCUCUGAGUUAGAGUAAACUGUCAAGAACUAAAACUUACUUACUUUACCUUUCACCAUGGGACUUGUAACCGUCACUUCUGUCUUGAGUAGUUAAAAGAUAGAACAGUCUAGCCAAGUGCCAUGUCUCUUAUUCUUGAUCAGCUAUAGCUCUGGAGUUUUUGCAGAUUUUCAAAUAAAACUCAGAGAUUCCUUGUAUGACUCUCUCAAUCUCUCUUUUGUGGUAUUUCUGGAUCCUUACCAAGGCAAUGAUGGUAUAUGCCUUCUCUCAAGAUAUGUGGUAUUUGUGGUAUAAGGCAUAGUGACAUUGUCUUCUCUCUCACCCUACUCUAAUAAGGCUUUAAUAUCUGGAGCUCAUAGGUGGGAGAUAAAGUAUACAUACUUACAAGACAUUUAUUGUAUAGUCAAACCAUGGAUCCAAUGAAACAAAUCAAUAAGCCAAAUCAAGAUGUGCAUGUGUUGCGAAUGAAUGGUGUAUGGUGAUGAUGGUGAUAACAAUGGUGAAAGUCUAAUUCUACUUUUGCUCUUUUGAGGGGAUACAUACCUUCUUGCUUUUUGAAACUUUAUGAGGAGAAUGAGAUUCUCUUCUUUUUCUUUCCUCUCGGGUGGGUAUCCUGUACCCCUAAUUCUACUGUCGGACACUUGUCCAUUUUUACCUCUCGUCUCACUUUUUCUUUCUUUCGAGGUUCCGGGCACUUGCCCCUUUUUAUUUCCUCGUUUAUUUUUUUUAUUUUCUUCUCUUUUCAUUUUUUUUCAGAUCACUCAUCUCUUGAGAUAAUAUAGCAAGUGGUAGUAGCAAGAUAACUUGAGCAUUUAUUUCACAAAGGAAAACAGAAAUAUUUUUGGCUAUUCUCUCCCGGAUUAGGAGUAGAAUAUUUUUAGGUGGUUCUGGAGAUGGACAUGGAUGGAUAUAUGUGGAUGGUACUUCCGGAGUAGAAGUAGCAUAUAUGAAUGAACGUGCAAGUGAAUCUUGAUUUAACCACAUGACAAGCUCCUAAGGGUCUACACAGCUUGACCACACUCAAUGCUCAUAAACAGUAAAUAGUAAAUGUGUGGCUCAAAGUCUAGCAAGCAUAUAUAUAUGGCUGUGGUAGGAAUUUAAACUCUCAUCAUACAGGAACUCAUCAUGCAAUAUUUUAAAGAUUUUUCAAAGAUAAAAUUCUCCAGAAUUAUAGCAUCUCUAGGAAUAGAUAAACAGCAGCUCAACCUUCCCAUAUCAUAUCCGUUAACAACUUAGAUUUCAGAUCAAGUUUUCAUCCCACAAGUUUAGAUCUAGAGCAAGCUUUAAAUUAUAACAGUUAUGUCUAAACUUGAGAGAGAACUUCAAAGUUGCAAAUUAGGCAGAGCAACUAUUCAUCAUAUCCAUGCUAGAGUUUUAUUAUUAAGAUUCAGAUUAGC
rnacentral:lncRNA from 1 species